rnacentral:rRNA from 1 species
GAUGAACGCUGGCGGCGUGCCUAAUACAUGCAAGUCGAGCGAACAGACGAGGAGCUUGCUCCUCUGACGUUAGCGGCGGACGGGUGAGUAACACGUGGAUAACCUACCUAUAAGACUGGGAUCACUUCGGGAAACCGGAGCUAAUACCGGAUAAUAUAUUGAACCGCAUGGUUCAAUAGUGAAAGACGGUUUUGCUGUCACUUCUAGAUGGAUCCGCGCCGCAUUAGCUAGUUGGUAAGGUAACGGCUUACCAAGGCAACGAUGCGUAGCCGACCUGAGAGGGUGAUCGGCCACACUGGAACUGAGACACGGUCCAGACUCCUACGGGAGGCAGCAGUAGGGAAUCUUCCGCAAUGGGCGAAAGCUUGACGGAGCAACGCCGCGUGAGUGAUGAAGGUCUUCGGAUCGUAAAACUCUGUUAUUAGGGAAGAACAAAUGUGUAAGUAACUAUGCACGUCUUGACGGUACCUAAUCAGAAAGCCACGGCUAACUACGUG